rnacentral:tRNA from 1 species
GGAUAGAUGGCUGAGUGGUUUAAAGCGAUAGUCUUGAAAACUGUUAUAUCUAACGAUAUCGUGGGUUCGAAUCCCACUCUGUCUU